rnacentral:rRNA from 1 species
CCUACGGGUGACAGCAGUGGGGAAUCUUGCACAAUGGGGGAAACCCUGAUGCAGCGACGCCGCGUGAGUGAAGAAGUAUUUCGGUAUGUAAAGCUCUAUCAGCAGGGAAGAAAAUGACGGUACCUGAUUAAGAAACCCCGGCUAACUACGUGCCAGCAGCCGCGGUAAUACGUAGGGGGCAAGCGUUAUCCGGAUUUACUGGGUGGAAAGGGAGCGUAGACGGCAGCACAAGGCUUGAGUGAAAGGCCGGGGCUUAACCCCGGAACUGCUUUGGAAACUGUGCAGCUAGAGUGCAGGAGAGGUAAGUGGAAGUACUAGUGUAGCGGUGAAAUGCGGAGAUAUUAGGAGGAACACCAGUGGCGAAGGCGGCUUACUGGACUGUAACGGACGUUGAGGCUCGAAAGCGUGGGGAGCAAACAGGAUUAGAUACCCUUGUAGUC